GGGCGUUAAGUUGCAGGGUAUAGACCCGAAACCCGGUGAUCUAGCCAUGGGCAGGUUGAAGGUUGGGUAACACUAACUGGAGGACCGAACCGACUAAUGUUGAAAAAUUAGCGGAUGACUUGUGGCUGGGGGUGAAAGGCCAAUCAAACCGGGAGAUAGCUGGUUCUCCCCGAAAGCUAUUUAGGUAGCGCCUCGUGAAUUCAUCUCCGGGGGUAGAGCACUGUUUCGGCAAGGGGGUCAUCCCGACUUACCAACCCGAUGCAAACUGCGAAUACCGGAGAAUGUUAUCACGGGAGACACACGGCGGGUGCUAACGUCCGUCGUGAAGAGGGAAACAACCCAGACCGCCAGCUAAGGUCCCAAAGUCAUGGUUAAGUGGGAAACGAUGUGGGAAGGCCCAGACAGCCAGGAUGUUGGCUUAGAAGCAGCCAUCAUUUAAAGAAAGCGUAAUAGCUCACUGGUCGAGUCGGCCUGCGCGGAAGAUGUAACGGGGCUAAACCAUGCACCGAAGCUGCGGCAGCGACGCUUAUGCGUUGUUGGGUAGGGGAGCGUUCUGUAAGCCUGCGAAGGUGUGCUGUGAGGCAUGCUGGAGGUAUCAGAAGUGCGAAUGCUGACAUAAGUAACGAUAAAGCGGGUGAAAAGCCCGCUCGCCGGAAGACCAAGGGUUCCUGUCCAACGUUAAUCGGGGCAGGGUGAGUCGACCCCUAAGGCGAGGCCGAAAGGCGUAGUCGAUGGGAAACAGGUUAAUAUUCCUGUACUUGGUGUUACUGCGAAGGGGGGACGGAGAAGGCUAUGUUGGCCGGGCGACGGUUGUCCCGGUUUAAGCGUGUAGGCUGGUUUUCCAGGCAAAUCCGGAAAAUCAAGGCUGAGGCGUGAUGACGAGGCACUACGGUGCUGAAGCAACAAAUGCCCUGCUUCCAGGAAAAGCCUCUAAGCAUCAGGUAACAUCAAAUCGUACCCCAAACCGACACAGGUGGUCAGGUAGAGAAUACCAAGGCGCUUGAGAGAACUCGGGUGAAGGAACUAGGCAAAAUGGUGCCGUAACUUCGGGAGAAGGCACGCUGAUAUGUAGGUGAAGUCCCUCGCGGAUGGAGCUGAAAUCAGUCGAAGAUACCAGCUGGCUGCAACUGUUUAUUAAAAACACAGCACUGUGCAAACACGAAAGUGGACGUAUACGGUGUGACGCCUGCCCGGUGCCGGAAGGUUAAUUGAUGGGGUUAGCGCAAGCGAAGCUCUUGAUCGAAGCCCCGGUAAACGGCGGCCGUAACUAUAACGGUCCUAAGGUAGCGAAAUUCCUUGUCGGGUAAGUUCCGACCUGCACGAAUGGCGUAAUGAUGGCCAGGCUGUCUCCACCCGAGACUCAGUGAAAUUGAACUCGCUGUGAAGAUGCAGUGUACCCGCGGCAAGACGGAAAGACCCCGUGAACCUUUACUAUAGCUUGACACUGAACAUUGAGCCUUGAUGUGUAGGAUAGGUGGGAGGCUUUGAAGUGUGGACGCCAGUCUGCAUGGAGCCGACCUUGAAAUACCACCCUUUAAUGUUUGAUGUUCUAACGU
rnacentral:rRNA from 1 species